AGGACGAACGCUGGCGGCGUGCUUAACACAUGCAAGUCGAGCGGAAAGGCCCUUCGGGGUACUCGAGCGGCGAACGGGUGAGUAACACGUGGGCAACCUGCCCCUAGCUCUGGGAUAACUCCGGGAAACCGGUGCUAAUACCGGAUAUGACCUCAAUAGGCAUCUUCUGAGGUGGAAAGAUUUAUUGGCUAGGGAUGGGCCCGCGGCCUAUCAGCUUGUUGGUGGGGUAAUGGCCUACCAAGGCGACGACGGGUAGCCGGCCUGAGAGGGCGACCGGCCACACUGGGACUGAGGCACGGCCCAGACUCCUACGGGAGGCAGCAGUGGGGAAUAUUGCGCAAUGGGCGAAAGCCUGACGCAGCGACGCCGCGUGAGGGAUGACGGCCUUCGGUUGUAAACCUCUUUCAGCAGGGACGAAGCGAAAGUGACGGUACCUGCAGAAGAAGCGCCGGCCAACUACGUGCCAGCAGCCGC
rnacentral:rRNA from 1 species